rnacentral:rRNA from 1 species
AUUGAACGCUGGCGGCAGGCCUACCACAUGCAAGUCGAGCGACGCACGGAUGAGUAACACGUAUCCAACAUGCCCUUUACUUGGGGAUAGCCUUUCGAAAGAAAGAUUAAUCCCCGAUAUACAGGCUGGGGAUCCGUUCCAUUAGGUUGUUUGUGAGGUAACGGCUCACCAAGCCUUCGAUGGAUAGGGGUUCUGUGAGGAAGGUCCCCCACAGUGGAAAUGAUACACGUUCCAAACUCCGAGGGGAGGCAGCAGUGAGGAAUAUAGGUCAAUGGGCGCUAGCCUGAACCAGCCAAGUAGCUUGAAGGAUGAAGGCUGAUGGGUCGUAAACUUCUUUUAUAUAAGAAGAUGUAUUAUAUGAAUAAGGAUCGGCUAACUCCGUGCCAGCAGCCGCGGUAAUAC